ensembl:snRNA U5 U5 spliceosomal RNA
AUAUCUGCCUUCCACUACAGCUCUCAUAAAUCUUUCACCUUUUACUAAAGGUUUCGGUAGAGAGGAACAUUUAUGAGUUUCUACCAAAUUUUUUGAGACUUCACCACUUUCUUCUAGC